rnacentral:rRNA from 1 species
CAAGGAUUCCCCUAGUAACUGCGAGUGAAGCGGGAAAAGCUCAAAUUUAAAAUCUGGUAGUCUUUGGCUGCCCGAGUUGUAAUCUAGAGAAGCAUUAUCCGCGCUGGACCAUGUAUAAGUCUCCUGGAAUGGAGCGUCAUAGAGGGUGAGAAUCCCGUCUUCGACAUGGACUACCAGGGCUUUGUGAUGUGCUCUCAAAGAGUCGAGUUGUUUGGGAAUGCAGCUCUAAAUGGGUGGUAAAUUCCAUCUAAAGCUAAAUAUUGGCGAGAGACCGAUAGCGAACAAGUACCGUGAGGGAAAGAUGAAAAGAACUUUGGAAAGAGAGUUAAACAGUACGUGAAAUUGUUGAAAGGGAAACGCUUGAAGUCAGUCACAUUGGCCAGGGAUCAACCUUGCUUUUGCUUGGUGUACUUCCUGGUUAAUGGGUCAGCAUCAAUUUUGACCAGUGGAAAAAGAUCAAGGGAAUGUGGCAUCUUCGGAUGUGUUAUAGCCUUUGGUUGCAUACAUUGGUUGGGAUUGAGGAACUCAGCACGCCGUAAGGCCGGGUUUUUAACCACGUUCGUGCUUAGGAUGCUGGCAUAAUGGCUUUAAUCGA